rnacentral:rRNA from 1 species
CUGCUGCCUUCCGUAGGAGUUUGGGCCGUGUCUCAGUCCCAAUGUGGUCGUUCACCCUCUCAGGCCGGCUACUGAUCGUCGCCUUGGUGGGCCGUUACCCCUCCAACCAGCUAAUCAGACGCGGGUCCAUCCUGUACCACCGGAGUUUUUCACACUGUACCAUGCGGUACUGUGCGCUUAUGCGGUUUUAGCACCUAUUUCUAAGUGUUAUCCCCCUGUACAGGGCAGGUUACCCACGCGUUACUCACCCGUCCGCCAUUAAGAUAAACAGG